GGAAGGAAGGAAGGAAGGAAGGAAGGAAGGAAAGAAAGUGGCUUUCUCUUUUCCUUCCUUCCUUCCUUCCUUCCUUCCUUCCUUCC